CGCUAAAAGAUGCUAGUCGAGCGGAGUGAUGGUGCUUGCACUAUCACUUAGCGGCGGACGGGUGAGUAAUGCUUAGGAAUCUGCCUAUUAGUGGGGGACAACAUUUCGAAAGGAAUGCUAAUACCGCAUACGUCCUACGGGAGAAAGCAGGGGAUCUUCGGACCUUGCGCUAAUAGAUGAGCCUAAGUCGGAUUAGCUAGUUGGUGGGGUAAAGGCCUACCAAGGCGACGAUCUGUAGCGGGUCUGAGAGGAUGAUCCGCCACACUGGGACUGAGACACGGCCCAGACUCCUACGGGAGGCAGCAGUGGGGAAUAUUGGACAAUGGGCGCAAGCCUGAUCCAGCCAUGCCGCGUGUGUGAAGAAGGCCUUAUGGUUGUAAAGCACUUUAAGCGAGGAGGAGGCUACUGAAGUUAAUACCUUCAGAUAGUGGACGUUACUCGCAGAAUAAGCACCGGCUAACUCUGUGCCAGCAGCCGCGGUAAUACAGAGGGUGCAAGCGUUAAUCGGAUUUACUGGGCGUAAAGCGCGCGUAGGCGGCUAAUUAAGUCAAAUGUGAAAUCCCCGAGCUUAACUUGGGAAUUGCAUUCGAUACUGGUUAGCUAGAGUGUGGGAGAGGAUGGUAGAAUUCCAGGUGUAGCGGUGAAAUGCGUAGAGAUCUGGAGGAAUACCGAUGGCGAAGGCAGCCAUCUGGCCUAACACUGACGCUGAGGUGCGAAAGCAUGGGGAGCAAACAGGAUUAGAUACCCUGGUAGUCCAUGCCGUAAACGAUGUCUACUAGCCGUUGGGGCCUUUGAGGCUUUAGUGGCGCAGCUAACGCGAUAAGUAGACCGCCUGGGGAGUACGGUCGCAAGACUAAAACUCAAAUGAAUUGACGGGGGCCCGCACAAGCGGUGGAGCAUGUGGUUUAAUUCGAUGCAACGCGAAGAACCUUACCUGGCCUUGACAUAGUAGAACUUUCCAAAAUGGAUUGGGCCUUCGGAACUUACUACGGGGCUGCAUGC
rnacentral:rRNA from 1 species